rnacentral:tRNA from 1 species
CUCUAAAAUAUAUUAAGUUGCAAACUUAAUUUUUGCUUUUUGCUUUAGAGU